AUUGAACGCUGGCGGCAGGCCUAACACAUGCAAGUCGAACGAGUGGCGGACGGGUGAGGAAUGUCUGGGAAACUGCCUGAUGGAGGGGGAUAACUACUGGAAACGGUCGAUAAUCACACAUCCCCUCGGAUGUGCAGAGAUGGGAUUCGCUAGUAGGUGGGGUAAAGGCUCACCUAGGCGACGAUCCCUAGCUGGUCUGAGAGGAUGACCAGCCACACUGGAACUGAGACACGGUCCAGACUCCUACGGGAGGCAGCAGUGGGGAAUAUUGCACAAUGGGCGCAAGCCUGAUGCAGCCAUGCCGCGUGUAUGAAGAAGGCCUUCGGGUUGUAAAGUACUUUCAGCGGGGAGGCGUUACCCGCAGAAGAAGCGCCGGCUAACUCCGUGCCAGCAGCCGCGGUAAUUC
rnacentral:rRNA from 1 species